UAUGCUUAUAAGAGUUUCAUUUUCUACUGACAAUUAAGAGAGGAAACUGAUAUUAAGAAACCCAGUGUCUGUGUGCUUCAAAGUGAGGCAUAUCGUUCAACAGACCUUAUUCCCAAGAGAUCUUAAUUUGUUGCUUGCCGGUGUUCAAGAAGAAACAUUAUAAUGGAAACAGAAUUAGAAUCACAAUGCCGUUUGACAAUUAAUGUUCACAAUAAAGCCUGGGAAGAUGUCGAAGUCACUGUCAGUGCCAGGCCACUAUUCAAACUGCUGGAUGGCAAUGUGAUUUUCUUCUGGUACAAAUGGCUGGCAUCAUCAUUUCCUACAACAGUCUGCUCGGGACAGAAAAAGAAAGUAAAUGAAGUCACCGACUGGAACAUCAUCACCUAUUAUUUGGGAAGAUACAACUGGAGGCUUUAUAACAUCAAAGUGGUGAGAAAAUCAGAUGGAUUGGAAGCUAGCUGUGCAACUCCGCUGGAUUGUACCUGGAUAAUUGAUGAUAAGGGAAUAUACCAAGAAAAUGAUACUGAAAAUCGUUGCAAAUUUGAAAAACCUUCUUUUAUUUAAUUAUCCUAUGAUUCUGCAUGUAUCAGAUGAUUCUGCAUGUAUCAGACGUAUACAAAUAUGAAAACAAGGUAUUUUUCCAUUUUGAGAAGAGAGGUAAUUAUGUGAGUCUGCUGUAGGAAAAAACAGGAUAGCGUUAUGUGAGAUUUGAAGGAAUAAUAGGCUUUACUGGCAUAAACUUUCACAGCCCCUUUCCCAGUUCUUCAUUAUUAUGUUAUUCCAUUCUGCAAGAUGAAUAUUUCUGUGAAUAUGAAACAUAAAUCAAUUCUGUUAAACCUUUCAUUUAUCUCAAAACACAGCUUUUUAAUGAAGUUUUUGGGGAGGUUCUCCCCCCCCUCAAAUUAACUGGGAUAGAGGAGGAAGAACGAGGGACACAUGUCACACUGUUUUUAUUCUGCCACCAGUCUUGUUCUUUGCAAUGAGAGAAUUAGUUUGUAGUAGUUACUUUUUAUAUAAUUUAUCUUUUAUAUAAAUUCAGUUUUUCAUUCCUGUUGUACACUGCAAAGAGUAGCAAUUUGCUAGAUGGGUGGUAUAUCAAAUAAAUAAAUAAAUCUUCUUUUGAGUUGAAAUCCUCAGAGACAAGCAGAACAAUAAUUGCAUUGCCAAGCCCUUUAGUCUAAACUAAAUGAAGUUUUGGAGAAAUUACUUUUCCAGAUUCCUCUCUCUCUUUUUUCAGGUUGAAAAAUUUUCCAUCUGCGAAUAUUUAGCAAAACAUUUUUUCCUCUUCCGAUCCUAAUUUCAUCACUUGAGAAUAGGCUAGAGAAUUCAGAGAUGGUAGUGUCUCAAUUGCUUAUUAUCACUUCCUGUAAGAGCAAGCACGACUACUCAGUAAGACAUGAUUGUAGCCCACAUAGUACUGCUGACAACGCACAGGGAGGUGUCAGCAUGCCUGGGAUUCUUUGAAGAAAAAAAAGUUAGGAGGAGGGAAAAAAUGUAACAAAGCAUCUCCCCACUGAACAGCUCAAUGACAACUGAGCAUGUUUGGUCUUGCAGAGACUGCAAAGUGCCUGCUGAAAGAAUGAAGUGUCCAGGAAAAGGGCAAAGCUACAUUCCAGGAACCCUGAAUCACUACUAUUUUAGUCAUAAUUUUAGAACCACAGAGCUGGAAGGGACCCUAAAGAUAAUCAAGCCCAGUCCCUGUCAAGGAGGCUCAGCAAGGAAUCAAACUCCCAACCUUUGGCUCCGCAGCCAGAGAACUAAAGCCAUCUAGCCUGCCUGGAUUUGAAAUCCAAUAGGGUUGCAGAAAUCCAAAUACAGUAGUUGGUUCUUACCCCUUCCAUUCUUUCUCACUUCUUUCCCAUAGUUUUCUUGAUGCAGCCGCUAUAUGGACUGUUAGUAAUUUUUAACUCAGUCUUAAUGAAAAAUGUAUCAUUAGGUACAUUUGGUAGAAAUUUAGUUUUGCACCCUUAAUUGCUUGAAUGUCCAAGAAUAAUUGAUGAAAUUCAUCCAUCUUUUUUUUUUCACCCAGAAAUGGAACAGGCAAUUCUGGGCUGUAUUCUCUGCUCAGCCUUAUUUUUUAAUAUAGCUGUAUACUGUUUCUGCUUUCCUUGGUUGGGGAAGAAGGGAUUCUUGGAUCCUCACACAGCGGACUGAUAUUUGCAAUUUAUUCUUAAACUUAAUGCUGAAAUGUAAUGUAAGAAUAGCCAGGGAAUGUAGAAUCCUUUUGAAUUAGAUGUGUUAGAGGAAAUACUGGUGUAUAUACUGGCAAUAUAUAUACACAUUUUGAUUCUGUUUCCCUCCUGAAAAGUUUAUUGGAACAGCUUGCAUACAUCAGUAAAAACAAGAAACAUGAUUAGGCCUGUUCAUUUGAUAGAUGGACAGAGAGAUAUUUUGGAAGGAGUAGUCUGCAGUCCACGAAAGCUGAUGCUAGAUAAAACCUAAUAGUCUUUACAAUGUCACAACAUUCUUUGGUCAAAAUCCUCUUUACAUGCUUUGUGCAUCAGUGCUCUUUUGCAUAAGCUGUUGGGUAUUUUUCUGAGCUUGUGCAAGGAGGUGUACAGUGCCUGUUUCAAAAAUGUAUAAGCACCAUUCACUAUAACGGGGCAAUCUUUAGCUUUCUAUAGUGUCAAUCCGGAAAUCUCACAGACCGCUAUGCCAGCACUUCACAACUGCAAACAGGAUACUUGUCUGUGCAAUAUUUUUUGCUACCGACAGUCAGUUGUGCCUUUUAAUAAAUGUUUCUUAUUUGUGUUACUUCCUUUCUUGAA